GACGAACGCUGGCGGCGUGCUUAACACAUGCAAGUCGAACGGAAAGGCCCUGCUUUUGUGGGGUGCUCGAGUGGCGAACGGGUGAGUAACACGUGAGUAACCUGCCCUUGACUUUCGGAUAACUUCAGGAAACUGGGGCUAAUAUCGGAUAGGAGCUCCUGCUGCAUGGUGGGGGUUGGAAAGUUUCGGCGGUUGAGGAUGGACUCGCGGCUUACCAGCUUGUUGGUGGGGUAGUGGCUUACCAAGGCUUUGACGGGUAGCCGGCCUGAGAGGGUGACCGGCCACAUUGGGACUGAGAUACGGCCCAGACUCCUACGGGAGGCAGCAGUGGGGAAUAUUGCACAAUGGGCGGAAGCCUGAUGCAGCAACGCCGCGUGCGGGAUGACGGCCUUCGGGUUGUAAACCGCUUUCGCCUGUGACGAAGCGUGAGUGACGGUAAUGGGUAAAGAAGCACCGGCUAACUACGUG
rnacentral:rRNA from 1 species